rnacentral:rRNA from 1 species
ACGGAGGGUGCAAGCGUUAAUCGGAAUUACUGGGCGUAAAGCGCGCGUAGGCGGUUAGAUCAGUCGGGUGUGAAAGCCCCGGGCUCAACCUGGGAACUGCAUUCGAUACUGUCUGACUGGAGUAUGGGAGAGGGUAGUGGAAUUCCACGUGUAGCGGUGAAAUGCGUAGAUAUGUGGAGGAACACCUGUGGCGAAGGCGGCUACCUGGCCCAAUACUGACGCUGAGGUGCGAAAGCGUGGGGAGCGAACAGG